rnacentral:tRNA from 1 species
GGCAGUGUAGCUCAGUUGGUAGCGUGCUUGCCUACAAUGCACAGAGCCCUGGGUUCAAUUCCCAGCACUGUAU